rnacentral:misc_RNA from 1 species
GACGUAGGGGGCCAGCGUUGCUCGGAAUAACUGGGCGUAAAGGGUCUGUAGGCGGUGUGGCAAGUCGGGAGUGAAAUCUCUGGGCUUAACUCAGGGGCUGCUUCCGAAACUGCCGUGCUGGAGUGCGAGAGAGGUGAGUGGAAUUGCAGGUGUAGCGGUGAAAUGCGUAGAUAUCUGCAGGAACACCCGUGGCGAAGGCGGCUCACUGGAUCGCAACUGACGCUGAGAGACGAAAGCUAGGGGAGCAAACAGG